rnacentral:rRNA from 1 species
GACGAACGCUGGCGGCGUGCUUAACACAUGCAAGUCGAGCGGUAAGGCCCUUUCGGGGGUACACGAGCGGCGAACGGUGAGUAACACGUGGGUGACCUGCCCUCAGCUCUGGGAUAAGCCUGGGAAACCGGGUCUAAUACCGGAUAUGACUCCAUGACGCAUGUUGUGGGGUGGAAAGCCUUGUGCGGCUGAGGAUGGGCCCGCGGCCUAUCAGCUUGUUGGUGGGGUGANGGGCCUACCAAGGCGACGACGGGUAGCCGGCCUGAGAGGGCGACCGGCCACACUGGGACUGAGACACGGCCCAGACUCCUACGGGAGGCAGCCAGUGGGGAAUCUUGCGCAAUGGGCGAAAGCCUUGACGCAGGCGACGCCGCGUGAGGGAUGACGGCCUGGUU